rnacentral:rRNA from 1 species
AGUGAACGCUGGCGGUAGGCCUAACACAUGCAAGUCGAACGGCAGCACAGUAAGAGCUUGCUCUUACGGGUGGCGAGUGGCGGACGGGUGAGGAAUACAUCGGAAUCUACUUUUUCGUGGGGGAUAACGUAGGGAAACUUACGCUAAUACCGCAUACGACCUACGGGUGAAAGCAGGGGAUCUUCGGACCUUGCGCGAUUGAAUGAGCCGAUGUCGGAUUAGCUAGUUGGCGGGGUAAAGGCCCACCAAGGCGACGAUCCGUAGCUGGUCUGAGAGGAUGAUCAGCCACACUGGAACUGAGACACAGUCCAGACUCCUACGGGAGGCAGCAGUGGGGAAUAUUGGACAAUGGGCGCAAGCCCGAUCCAGCCAUACCGCGUGGGUGAAGAAGGCCUUCGGGUUGUAAAGCCCUUUUGUUGGGAAAGAAAAGCAGCAGGUUAAUACCCCGCUGUUCUGACGGUACCCAAAGAAUAAGCACCGGCUAACUUCGUG